UAUAAAUAGCCUCUCCUUGUACUCACUGCUCCCACACAAUCGCACACAUUCAUGCAUAAUGACAGACGCACGCAAGCAGCCACUAACACACGUGAUGAUCUAGGCUCUGACAGGGACACUCUUUUCUUUCUGCUCCCUCUUUCCCUGGUCUCGCUCCCUCCAUCUCUUCUUGGCAGUUCUACUCCUUCUCCUACUUAUCAUAUGCUCUCUAACAGAUGGCGGAUAUGAUAAUUACCAGGCGGACUAAACAGCGCAGCUAUUGUGCGUUCUCUUUGAGUUUCGUUUCUACGUUGGGGUUUGUGUCCACUCCAAUAAUGGCUGCAUUGUUUUGGUGCCACAAGCAUCAUGCUUGGCUUCCCCACAAAACCGGACUGCCAGCUUCAGCCAACAGAAGGCGUCUGUGUGUUUGGAUGAGAGGGGAAGAGAGAGGGGGAGAGAGAAAAAGUAGGAGUUGGCGGAGGCAGUGGAAAAUUUGCGAGCCAAGGACAGUGACGUUGCUGAGCAGAGAAGAACAAACUACUUCCUGAAAACCUAUUCAAGAAUGAACAGGAGUUCUGCACUCCGUCUCUGUGGCCUUCACCAACAUUCUGCUUUUAAUCCCAUUUUAGCUCUAAAGUUCCUAAAAGCAAAUGGUGUUAAAUUAUUAAAGUCUCCACAUUCCUUUAAUGUAAAUUAACUGCCGUGCAGUGGUUUUAACCUACUUUUAAUGGUUUUGGCAGGUUUCAUCAAUACAAAUGUAACACUUUUUAAGAUAUUUUUAAAACCAGUAUGAAUAAGUUGUAAGUUCUUUGCCUCCAGGAAUGUACAGAAUCCAGAUGACAAAUUUGAACUUACCAAUGAUAGAUGCCAAAAAGCUAAUUAGCAAGGGUUUCUUUUCCUUGAUUUACCGGUAACCUUGAAUCCCAGAAUACAACAAAGAAAACUGCAUAAGACUCAAAUCAUUGUCUGACAGAAAGUCGCACAAGAAAAAAAGACUAAGAUAGUCCUGCUGAGGCAAAACUUAACAUGAUUUAACUUACUUUUAAAUUAAGACAUUUUGCACUUCAGUUCGUACUGUUAGGAUAGUGUUAAGGAAAUAAUUUAAAAUAAGUUAGUUUUAAA